GGGAAGCUUUGGUGAGUCUUAGGAAGACUGGUGGGAGCCUUUUCUUCUGGCCAGAUCACUUUGGUUCUCUGGGUGAUGAAGUGCUGAAGGCAUUUUAAGCAUUGGUGGCUGUGUAAAGGCGUAACAAGAAGUUUCUCAGAUUUGCUUGUGAACUGAGAAAUCAGAGAUCUGCAGAAAAUAACAGCACCGGCUGGCUCUGCUCAACGCCAGCAGGAUCAUGACAAAACCAAAGGCUGUUCCUGCCUGGUGCUGGCACCUACUGCGCUGAAGUGAGACAGCAAUUCUUCCUGCAUGACAGAAGGCAGGGUCUGGUCCAGCACCCGAAAAGACAUCCCAGCCACUGUGCAGGGCUGUCGGCUACGGUAGAUGGAUGCUGGUUUGACUCAGGGGAUGCUGACGCUGUUCAUUAAGCUACUGACUGCAUCCAAGCUUCAGCCCUUGAUUGGAAAUGAUCCGAACUACUGAGACUCCUGCUCUCCCCCGACGCCUUCUUGGAGUGUGCUCGUGAGUCCUCGAGGAGCUGGAUGCUACCAUUGCUGGAGUUUUCCCGUAAAUGCAGCUUGGACUGGAAACCAUGUGGAAAUUCCCAGAACUAGCAGCAGUGGUUUAGAUAUCACAGAUUACCUUUGUGCUGGGGCAGGGAAGGUGUGCUCCUGUACUUACGUGUGUGUCAGGAGAAUUGGGAAAUGCUCCUCUCCUGGUCUUUAGCACUUCUGCAGUGUCUUUACUGAGGGGCCGUGGGAGCAAGGUGGGAAGUUAUGGAGCUGUGGCCUCCAACCCAGGUAAAUGAGCGAUGUGAUAAUGCUGUGGCCCAAGAGUCAGAUGUGUUAAAGCCCUCAUGUUUGAGAUUGGAUCAGCAGACCAGCAACUUGGAGGAGGAAAUCAUACCUACACCUCGACCUGACCAUUGCCUCUUGAAGACCAAUUGAUAUCCUGCCACCCUUAAAACUGGUGCAACUUGUAGGAGGAGAAAACCUGAUAGGCACCCAUAAAAUGGGGGCAAACUGACGUCUGGAGAUGCCCCUUUCUGGUCGUUAAUCCAAACACUUGGACUCCUUACAAGCUGCAGAGAGAAAAAGAGGUGAUGUGAAUCCCACCCAGAGUUUUGAAAAGUAGCUGCUCUGAUUUAAAGCUCCAAGCAACCAAAAGCCUGGGGUGUCUCGAGGUGCAUAGUUUCAGCAGUUAAUUCCCCACAUUGUCAGAAAACUUCCAUUUCAUUUCAGUGCUGAAUUUGCCUCCUUUUGGCUUCUGACUCUUGGAUUUCAUUAUUCAGUCAUCAGCUGGCUGAUUAAAGAGCUGUCUCCUAUCAAAAAUCUCUUUUCUAUGCAGGUACUUGUGGGCUGUGAUCAAGUCACCUCUUAACCUUCUCCUGGAUAAGCUAUUAGCUUGAGAUACUUAUGGCAGGUUUCCCAGACCUCAAACUGUACUUAUAGCUCUUUCCUGAACUGCUUCCAAUUUUCCUUUUUUUUUUUUUUUUCCUCCCUCUCCCCAGUGUCUUUUCUGAAAUGGGGGCACCAGAAUGUGACAGUGCCUCUGGUUAGGUCUCACAGCUACCAUGCGUAAAGGAUGUGCCACCUUCCUUCUUGUACUGACUUGUUUAUACUCAAUGGCUGAUGCUGGGAGCCCAGAUUGUCUGUGAUCCCAAGAAUGUCUCGGGAUUUGAGACUCUCUGGGAAUGUACUCGCUGAAUGUGACCUACUUUCCUUGUUCCUGGAAUUUCAGCCCGGUAAGAGGAAAGCCAGCCCCUGGUUGGGGCAGACAGGUCUUUCUGAGACCAAGGUUCAGCUCCCUGCCUGCCAGAGGCUCCUGGAGCAAGCCCAGCUGAGUCCUUUGGGGCCUGAUCGCUGGGGUGCUAGCAUGGGUGUAGCAUGUGUGAUUCUGAUUUGGGGGAUUCUGAUUUGGGGCAGCCAUGAGCCAUGUUGGAGUCCCUUCCAAACCCAUUAGCAUUAAUCUCACCUACUCCCUUGUUUUCUGCCUGCAUGGAAAGGGUGACUUGGAAUGGCACAGAUACAACAGAGCUGUGGGUAAGAAGGCAGUGGAACUUGUUGCAUUAGGUACAGGUACUAGACACUUUUUUAACUGCAAUUAAGUGGCAAGUAGAUGUUUACUUGAAUAGUUCAGGUGGAGAUUCCAGAGGAAUAAUGCAAUAUAUCUUUUCAUUCAUUUUUUUGUUAUCUGUAGACUUCAACAGCAAUUAUUUGGUAUUAUUUUACACUGUAUACAUUAGCGCAAGAGCAGAUUCCCUUUUGACAUCACAGCCAAAGCAUGUGCAUAUGGCAUAACCUCUUCCUGAUUGCAAUUAUUGUGGAAGAGAUCACUUAACUGGUAAUGUUGUUUGUUUUCAAUCAGAGUGCUGUGCAUGCAAGAGUGCUCUUCAGGCAAGUUCAAUGUCAGUGCAGUUGGCUUUCAGUCUUGUUUGUGGUUCUACAAAAAAAAAAUGGUCACUUUGUAUACGUUACAUAUACAUAAAAUGCUAUCUAAUAGCCAAUAGUUGAUAUGUAAUUAAUAUGAUGUACUUCUGCAUGUUUGACAAGACUUGUGGUCCAGAAGUCUGUUAAAUAUUAUGAUUUACACUGUACAUUACACUGCUCUUCACUCUUACAUAGGGGCUGUGGAAUAGUAGGCAAAAGGGAAAAGGCUAUUGUUUAGCAAUUGCUGUCUAGGGGGUAGUUGAGGGAAAUGUAAAUUAUUAUAAUUACAUAUUUAAAUGUUUUCAAGGUUGCCUAAAACCACAGCUUCAGAAGAAUAGAGCUGGGUAAUAAUUCUAGAGAGAGCUAAAUACAUCCUGAAAAAUACUGUUUUGGAACAGAGUAGAAUUAUUUCAGGUGGAAGUGAGAGAUGGGAAGGGAAAAAACAAAUUAAAGUUAAAAUCCCUUUA